rnacentral:rRNA from 1 species
UACAGAGGUCCCAAGCGUUACUGAGAAUCACUGGGUUUAAAGGGUGCGUAGGUGGUCCGUUAAGUCAGUUGUGAAAUCCCCGGGCUCAACCCGGGAACUGCUUCUGAUACUGGCGGACUUGAGGCCAGUAGAGGUCACUGGAACUGACGGUGGAGCGGUGAAAUGCGUAGAUAUCAGGAGGAACACCGGUGGCGAAGGCGGGUCUCUGGGCCGAUACUGACGCUGAGGAGCGAAAGCGUGGGGAGCGAACAGG